AGUGAACGCUGGCGGUAGGCCUAACACAUGCAAGUCGAACGGCAGCACAGUAAGAGCUUGCUCUUACGGGUGGCGAGUGGCGGACGGGUGAGGAAUACAUCGGAAUCUACUUUUUCGUGGGGGAUAACGUAGGGAAACUUACGCUAAUACCGCAUACGACCUACGGGUGAAUGCAGGGGAUCUUCGGACCUUGCGCGAUUGAAUGAGCCGAUGUCGGAUUAGCUAGUGGGCGGGGUAAAGGCCCACCAAGGCGACGUUCCGUAGCUGGUCUGAGAGGAGGAUCGGCACAACUGGACCUGAGACACGGUCCAGACUCCUACGGGAGGAGGCAGUGGGGAAUAUUGGACAAUGGGCGAAAGCCUAAUCCAGACAUACCGCGUGGGUGAGGAAGGCCUUCGGGUUGUAAAGCCCUUUUGUUGGGAAAGAAAAGCAGCAGGUUAAUACCCCGCUGUUCUGACGGUACCCAAAGAAUAAGCACCGGCUAACUUCGUG
rnacentral:rRNA from 1 species